UACGGAGGGGGCUAGCGUUGUUCGGAAUUACUGGGCGUAAAGCGCGCGUAGGCGGACCUGCAAGUCGGGGGUGAAAGCCCGAGGCUCAACCUCGGAACUGCCUUCGAUACUGCGGGUCUCGAGUCCGGGAGAGGUGAGUGGAAUUCCUAGUGUAGAGGUGAAAUUCGUAGAUAUUAGGAAGAACACCAGUGGCGAAAGGCGGCUCAGCUGGCCCGGUACUGACGCUGAGGCGCGAAAGCUAGGGGGAGCAAAACGGG
rnacentral:rRNA from 1 species